CGCUAGCGAUAGGCUUAACACAUGCAAGUCGAGGGGCAGCAUGGUCUUAGCUUGCUAAGACUGAUGGCGACCGGCGCACGGGUGCGUAACGCGUAUGCAACUUGCCUCACAGAGGGGGAUAACCCGUCGAAAGACGGACUAAUACCGCGUACACUCUAUGUUGGGCAUCCAAUGUAGAGGAAAUGAAAUUCGCUGUGAGAUAGGCAUGCGUCCCAUUAGCUAGUUGGUGAGGUAACGGCUCACCAAGGCGACGAUGGGUAGGGGAACUGAGAGGUUGAACCCCCACACUGGUACUGAGACACGGACCAGACUCCUACGGGAGGCAGCAGUGAGGAAUAUUGGUCAAUGGGCGAGAGCCUGAACCAGCCAAGUCGCGUGAAGGAUGACUGUCUUAUGGAUUG
rnacentral:rRNA from 1 species